AGCUCCGUAGUGUAGCGGUCAAGCAUCAGAGACUCUGGCUCUCUGGACCCAGGUUCGAAUCCUGGCGGGGCUA
rnacentral:tRNA from 1 species